GUUUGGGCACCCCAGGCCUACAUAAAUACAUAAUCCUUGCUUCACUCUAUUUUGCAUGCAUCUUUAUUGAAAAACUGUGCUUUUAACAAUCCAUUGGCAGUAGAGACAAACAGAUGUCUAAACCGUGAUCAAUCUGAACUCGAACAUUCUAUCUGACAACACCCAUAUUGCUCAUUGCACAUUGCACAUCUAUUUGUUCAGGAACAGCAGAUAGUCUUUGUCCUUACAUGUUGACAAGAGAGAGGGUAAAUGCGUUUCCUCUGUAAUACUCAACAAUGUAUCAGCUGUGGACCAUACGCCUUAGGGAAGAGCGGAGAACUUAUGGUAUCUCUCCCACCAGUCAUUGAUAGUCACUAAAGGACCUCUUGGAUCACCCAUCUGGAUGUCCUCCAAAGCAGGAUCAUGUGGAAAACAAGCACUUGGCUUGGCUCAGCAACCCUGUGGAAAGCAUGCCUUCCAUUCUUCACAACAUUUGAUUUACCUCUCCCAGUUCCAUUGCGUCAAAAUAAAAGUCUGACAGCAGAAUUGAGUUGUUCCUGGAUGGCCACAUAGCAUGAAUAGAUUCAGAAAAUCUGCUUUAUUUAAAUGAGCCUUAAAGGCAUAGUUCACCCAAAAAUGCUGGUAGAAGAAUUUUGAAGAAUGCUGUUGACGGUAGCCAUUGACUUCCAUAAUAUGUGGAAACAAUACUUUAGAAGUCAAAGGUUACUGUCAACAUAUGCAUACAUUGUUUAGCAUAUGUCAUUUUACUUGAAUUAUUUGAUUUAAAUGAAUUAAAUGUGAUUUAAGUUCAACUCUAGUCAAAUGCAUUCAGACAAGUCCUUUCUUUACAAUCGUUCAAGCAGAUCUAUAAACACAGCCUAAGAAGUCAUUUUUGAAAAUGAAGCUGCAAUUUGAUAUGCCUGGGAACCCCUUUGUGGCCAGUCCUACUGUUUUUUGUUUUGCAUUUUUUCUUAUUUGAUUUUGAUGAAUGUCUUCACCAAAAACACA